UACGGAGGGGGCAAGCGUUGUUCGGAAUUACUGGGCGUAAAGCGCGUGUAGGCGGCUUAUCAAGUCCUGUGUGAAAAGCCCCUGGGCUCAACCCAGGAAGUGCGCAGGAUACUGAUGAGCUGGAGUAGCGGAGAGGAUGGCGGAAUACCCGGUGUAGAGGUGAAAUUCGUAGAUAUUGGGAAGAACACCGGUGGCGAAGGCGGCGACCUGGUCCGAUACUGACGCUGAGGCGCGAAAGCGUGGGGGAGCAAACAGG
rnacentral:rRNA from 1 species